rnacentral:rRNA from 1 species
CGAACGAAGCAGAGGGGCGGAAUUUUUUCGGAGAGGAAGCCCCCCUGACUGAGUGGCGGACGGGUGAGUAACGCGUGGACAACCUACCCCGCACUGGGGGACAACAGCUGGAAACGGCUGCUAAUACCGCAUAUGCGCACGGCCCCGCAUGGGGCCGCGCGGAAAGCGCAUGUGGUGCGGGAUGGGUCCGCGUCUGAUUAGCUUGUUGGCGGGGUAACGGCCCACCAAGGCGACGAUCAGUAGCCGGCCUGAGAGGGUGGACGGCCACAUUGGGGCUGAGACACGGCCCAGACUCCUACGGGAGGCAGCAGUGGGGGAUAUUGCACAAUGGGGGCAACCCUGAUGCAGCGACGCCGCGUGAGCGAUGGAGUACUUCGGUAUGUAAAGCUCUGUCAGCAGGGAAGAGAAUGACGGUACCUGACCAAGAAGCCCCGGCUAAAUACGUGCCAGCAGCCGCGGUAAUACGUAUGGGGCAAGCGUUAUCCGGAUUUACUGGGUGUAAAGGGAGCGUAGGCGGCAGGGCAAGCCUGAUGUGAAAGCCCGGGGCUCAACCCCGGGACUGCAUUGGCAACUGCCCCGCUCGAGUGCCGGAGGGGCAGGCCGAAUUCCU